rnacentral:snRNA from 1 species
AUGCUUGUUUCAGGAGCACAGAUACUAAAAUUGGGAGGAUUAGCAUAACCUCUGUACAAAGAUGGCGGGCAAAAUCACAAAGUGUUCUGUAUUUUA